UGGCUCUUGCAUCGAUGAAGAACGCAGCGAAAUGCGAUAAGUAAUGUGAAUUGCAGAAUUCAGUGAAUCAUCGAAUCUUUGAACGCACCUUGCGCUUCUUGGUAUUCCGAGAAGCAUGCCUGUUUGAGUGUCAUAAAAUUCUCAAGUUUUGAAUCUAGCUAAGAAUCAGACUUGGAUUUAUGGAAGUUGCUGGCUUUUUUGAAAAAUGAGUUAGCUCUUCUUAAAUAAAUUAGCAAAAUAACUGCUAAUCAUCAUUUGAUAUGAUAAAUCAUCUAUAUCAUUGAUCAAUAGUGUAUUUUGCUUCUAAUAGCUUCAUUUUUACAUUGUGUUUGACCUCAAAUCAGGUAGGAUUACCCGCUGA
rnacentral:misc_RNA from 1 species